GUGAACAUACAUAGAAGAGAACCUUGAAAUUACUGUUGUAGUGGUUGGUUGUACGUUGCGAAGGUACUUUGAGAUUACUGUGGGUAAUGAUUUGUCAGUUUGUAAUGAAAUGAAACCUCGAUUUGAUCAUGCCCUGCUCAUUGAUGAGUAAGGAGGUCGAAAUUUUGUGGAAACUAGGUUCUGUUUUUGCUGUGAAGUCAGCACAUUAUGGUUUGCCAUGGACUAAGCUUGUUAAUU
rnacentral:lncRNA from 1 species